rnacentral:rRNA from 1 species
CCAUACAAGAGGCCCAAAUUAACUGCCCAUCCGGCGUAAAGAGUGGCAAGAUGUUAUCCCCCCAACUAAGAUCAAAAUGCAACCAAGCUGUCAUAAGCCCAAGACGCACCUAAACCCACCCCCAAAACAGAUCCUAGUACCCGCGAUCAAUUUCAACCCACGAAAGCUGGGGCACAAACUGGGAUUAGAUACCCCACUAUGCCUAGCCCUAAAUUCAGAUACUUUUCCCCACCAGAGUAUUCGCCCGAGAACUACGAGCACAAACGCUUAAAACUCUAAGGACUUGGCGGUGUCCCAAACCCACCUAGAGGAGCCUGUUCUAUAACCGAUAACCCACGAUACACCCAACCACCUCUCGCAAUCGCAGCCUACAUACCGCCGUCGCCAGCUCACCUCCCCUGAAAGUCUUACAGUGAGCCCAAUAGCUUUCCCCGCUAGCAAGACAGGUCAAGGUAUAGCCCAUGAGGUGGAAGAAAUGGGCUACAUUUUCUAGCAUAGAACACACGGCAAUGGGGCGUGAAACCGCCCCCAGAAGGAGGAUUUAGCAGUAAAGUCGAACAAUAGAGUCCACUUUAAACCGGCUCUGGGACACGUACAUACCGCCCGUCACCCUCCUCACAGGCCUACCCACCCAUAUAAAUAAUCAACCCUACAACAAGCCAAAGAUGAGGUAAGUCGUAACAA